GACGAACGCUGGCGGCGUGCUUAACACAUGCAAGUCGAACGGAAAGGCCCUGCUUUUGUGGGGUGCUCGAGUGGCGAACGGGUGAGUAACACGUGAGUAACAUGCCCUUGACUUUGGGAUAACUUCAGGAAACUGGGGCUAAUACCGGAUAGGAGCUCCUGCUUCAUGGUGGGGGUUGGAAAGUUUCGGCGGUUGGGGAUGGACUCGCGGCUUAUCAGCUUGUUGGUGGGGUAGUGGCUUACCAAGGCUUUGACGGGUAGCCGGCCUGAGAGGGUGACCGGCCACAUUGGGACUGAGAUACGGCCCAGACUCCUACGGGAGGCAGCAGUGGGGAAUAUUGCACAAUGGGCGGAAGCCUGAUGCAGCAACGCCGCGUGCGGGAUGACGGCCUUCGGGUUGUAAACCGCUUUCGCCUGUGACGAAGCGUGAGUGACGGUAAUGGGUAAAGAAGCACCGGCUAACUACGUG
rnacentral:rRNA from 1 species